GGUGAGUAACACGUAAGAAUUUGCCUUUAGGAGGGGGAUAACAACUGGAAACGGUUGCUAAUACCCCAUAUGCUUUCGAGUGAAAUGGAUUUUUCCGCCUAGAGAGAAGCUUGCGGCUGAUUAGCUUGUUGGUGAGGUAAUGGCUUACCAAGGCGACGAUCAGUAUCUGGUUUGAGAGGACGAUCAGACACACUGGAACUGAGACACGGUCCAGACUCCUACGGGAGGCAGCAGUAGGGAAUUUUCCGCAAUGGGCGAAAGCCUGACGGAGCAAUCUCGCGUGAGGGAUGACGGCCUAUGGGUUGUAAACCUCUUUUUUCAGGGAGGAAUAAAAUGACGUGUACCUGAAGAAUAAGCAUCGGCUAACUCCGUGCCAGCAGCCGCGGUAAGACGGAGGAUGCAAGUGUUAUCCGGAAUCACUGGGCGUAAAGCGUCUGUAGGUGGUUUAGUAAGUCAACUGUUAAAUCUUGAAGCUCAACUUCAAAAUCGCAGUCGAAACUAUUAGACUAGAGUAUAGUAGGGGUAAAGGGAAUCUCCAGUGGAGUGGUGAAAUGCGUAGAUAUUGGAAAGAACACCGAAGGCGAAGGCAUUUUACUGGGCCAUUACUGACACUCAGAGACGAAAGCUAGGGUAGCAAAUGGGAUUAGAUACCCCAGUAGUCCUAGCUGUAAACGAUGGAUACUAGAUGUUGCACGUAU
rnacentral:rRNA from 1 species